AAUUCAGGAGUGUGUCCUGGCUCUGCAAGGGCAUCACCCAUGUGGGCUCACCGCUUGCCUCUGGGACUGAAGACAAUUUGGCCAGGAAGUGACCAGCAAUGGAAAAAGGGAAAUAAUCAGCACAUCUGCAUGUGUGCCCAUCUCAGAGACACAAACUGUGAAUAACAACUCACUUGGCUUCAUAACCAAGACCUACUCUGAGGAAUUGCAUCUCUUCCUUGGAGACCUUGAUUGGCCUGCUAGGUUAAAGGCAUUUCACUAAAUUCUUGGAGGAGUCUGAGAGAACUUGGGGGUGCUUGAGGAACCCAAAGGUGUGAAGUAAAAGCUGGAAACCAAGAUUGCUGGGAAAGUUCAGAGAAAGUAGAGAUUACUUCGUUUGUUGGAGAUCACAUGCAAGGGAGUCUACUCCGAGAUCAAAGGCAACCUAUAGCAAUUUAUGAGAAAUGAAGGAAGUGGGAGAGAUGCUAAGUUACUUUAAGGGAUGUUCUGAAAUCAUGAAUCUAGCUGGAAUAGCUGGUGUUGGCUGUGUCCAGAAGAGCUGGGACAAGUAUAGACAGGAUUUCCACAUGUCGCCCAGGCUGAUCUCAGACUCCUGACCUGGAUCUUCCCACCUCAGCCACUGAACGUGCUGGGAUUACAGCUUAAAUAGGUCUACUUGAAGUUCACAACUGCCAAAACCGCGUGUUCAGACUGAAAGGCUGGGAGCAUUUCAGACGCAUUUAUGAACUUCCACCAAGAUGAUCCGGCAGGCUGAAAUCGCAGGGAGAGCGUCUGUUCAACAAACCCUUUCUUCUUGAUUGAAUUAGUGUUACCCACUAACAGGAUGAGGAAUUCCCACUCCACAAGCUGACUUUUUUUCCUCUUUCCACCUCCCGCCUCCCUCCAUUAAAAUGUAAACUUGA
ensembl:lncRNA LINC01517 long intergenic non-protein coding RNA 1517